AGCAGCCGCGGUAAUUCCAGCUCCAAUAGCGUAUAUUAAAGUUGUUGCAGUUAAAAAGCUUGUAGUUGAAUUUCGGGGUUCUACCGUUGGUCGGGCUACCAAGUCUGCACUGGUGUGUAGAAUUCCUACCUUCUGGGGAACUAUCAUGUUAUUAAUUUAGCGUGGUGGGAAACCAGGACCUUUACCUUGAAAAAAUUAGUAGUAGUUCAAAGCAGGCUUAUGUCUGAAUACAUUAGCAUGGAAUAAUAGAAUAGGACGGUGGUCCUGUUUUGUUGGUUUCUGAAUCACCGUAAUGAUUAAUAGGGAUAGUUGGGGGCAUUAGUAUUCAAUUGUCAGAGGUGAAAUUCUUGGAUUUAUUGAAGACUAACUUCUGCGAAAGCAUUUGCCAAGGAUGUUUCAUUAAUCAAGAACGAAAGUUAGGGGAAUCGGAAGACGAUCAGAUACCGUCGUAGUCUUAACCAUAAACUAUAGCCGACUAGGGAUCGGACGAUGUUAAAUUUUAUUGACUCGUUUCGGCGCC
rnacentral:rRNA from 1 species